rnacentral:rRNA from 1 species
CGCCAGACUCCUACGGGAGGCAGCAGUGGGGAAUAUUGCACAAUGGGGGAAACCCUGAUGCAGCGACGCCGCGUGAGUGAAGAAGUAUUUCGGUACGUAAAGCUCUAUCAGCAGGGAAGAAAAUGACGGUACCUGAUUAAGAAGCCCCGGCUAACUACGUGCCAGCAGCCGCGGUAAUACGUAGGGGGCAAGCGUUAUCCGGAUUUACUGGGUGUAAAGGGAGCGUAGACGGCGCGGCAAGUCUGAAGUGAAGGGCAGGGGCUUAACCCCUGAACUGCUUUGGAAACUGCCAUGCUAGAGUGCUGGAGAGGUAAGUGGAAUUCCUAGUGUAGCGGUGAAAUGCGUAGAUAUUAGGAGGAACACCAGUGGCGGAGGCGGCUUACUGGACAGUAACUGACGUUGAGGCUCGAAAGCGUGGGGAGCAAACAGGAUUAGAUACCCCAGUAAAG